UACGUAGGGGGCAAGCGUUGUCCGGAAUCAUUGGGCGUAAAGCGCGCGUAGGCGGCCCUGUAAGUCCGUUGUGAAAGUCGGGGGCUCAACCCUCGAAAGCCGGUGGAUACUGUCGGGCUCGAGUGCGGAAGAGGCGAGUGGAAUUCCUGGUGUAGCGGUGAAAUGCGCAGAUAUCAGGAGGAACACCGAUUGCGAAGGCAGCUCGCUGGGACGUUACUGACGCUGAGACGCGAAAGCGUGGGGAGCGAACAGG
rnacentral:rRNA from 1 species